rnacentral:rRNA from 1 species
GACGAACGCUGGCGGCGUGCUUAACACAUGCAAGUCGAACGGUAAGGCCCUUCGGGGUACACGAGUGGCGAACGGGUGAGUAACACGUGGGUGAUCUGCCCUGCACUUCGGGAUAAGCCUGGGAAACUGGGUCUAAUACCGGAUAGGACCACUGCCUGCAAGGGUGGUGGUGGAAAGCUUUUGCGGUGUGGGAUGGGCCCGCGGCCUAUCAGCUUGGUGGUGGGGUGAUGGCCUACCAAGGCGACGACGGGUAGCCGGCCUGGGAGGGUGACCGGCCACACUGGGACUGAGAUACGGCCCAGUCUCCUACGGGAGGCAGCAGUGGGGAAUAUUGCACAAUGGGCGCAAGCCUGAUGCAGCGACGCCGCGUGAGGGAUGACGGCCUUCGGGUUGUAAACCUCUUUCAGCACCGACGAAGCGCAAGUGACGGUAGGUGCAGAAGAAGGACCGGCCAACUACGUGCCAGCAGCCGCGGUAA